UUCGCAAUGCCCGAAAGGGUGACGAAGCGACGCCGCGUGUGGGAAGAAGGCCUUCGGGUUGUAAACCACUGUCGGGAGUUAAGAAAUGCAAGGAUAUGAAUAGUGUCUUUGCUUGACUAAGGCUCCGGAGGAAGCCACGGCUAACUCUGUGCCAGCAGCCGCGGUAAUACAGAGGCGGCAAGCGUUGUUCGGAAUUAUUGGGCGUAAAGAGCACGUAGGCGGCUAUGUAAGUCGGUUGUGAAAGCCUUCCGCUCAACGGGAGAACAGCAUCCGAUACUACAUGGCUUGAGUGCGGGAGGGGAGAGUGGAACUUCUGGUGGAGCGGUGAAAUGAGUAGAUAUCAGAAGGAACGCCGGCGGCGAAAGCGGCUCUCUGGCCCAUAACUGACGCUGAGUGUGCGAAAGCUAGGGGAGCAAACGGGAUUAGAUACCCCGGUAGUCCUAGCCGUAAACGAUGGGCACUAAGUAGAGGGGUUUU
rnacentral:rRNA from 1 species